rnacentral:rRNA from 1 species
UCCUGCCUACGGGGGGCAGCAGUGAGGAAUAUUGGUCAAUGGGAGAGAUCCUGAACCAGCCAAGCCGCGUGAGGGAAGACGGCCCUAUGGGUUGUAAACCUCUUUUGUCGGAGAACAAAACCCGGGACGUGUCCCGGACUGCGUGUAUCUGAAGAAAAAGCAUCGGCUAACUCCGUGCCAGCAGCCGCGGUAAUACGGAGGAUGCGAGCGUUAUCCGGAUUUAUUGGGUUUAGAGGGUGCGUAGGCGGUCCGUUAAGUCGGCGGUAAAAUUGCGGGGCUCAACCCCGUCCCGCCG